rnacentral:rRNA from 1 species
UACGUAAGGUGCAAGCGUUGUCCGGAAUUAUUGGGCGUAAAGAGCUCGUAGGCGGUCUGUCGCGUCGGCUGUGAAAUCCCGGAGCUCAACUCCGGGUCUGCAGUCGAUACGGGCAAACUGGAGUACUGCAGGGGAGACUGGAAUUCCUGGUGUAGCGGUGAAAUGCGCAGAUAUCAGGAGGAACACCGGUGGCGAAGGCGGGUCUCUGGGACGGUACUGACGCUGAGACGCGAAAGCGUGGGGAGCGAACAGG